GGCCUCAUGGCUCAGUUGGUUAGAGCGCCGCCCUGUCACGGCGGAGGUCGCGGGUUCGAGUCCCGCUUGGGUCG
rnacentral:tRNA from 1 species